rnacentral:tRNA from 1 species
GCCGUGGCCUACUGGUUAGCGCUUCGGACUUGUAACCUGAAGGUUGCCGGUUCGAACCCCGACCAGUAGGCA